rnacentral:rRNA from 1 species
AUUGAACGCCGGCGGCAGGCCUAACACAUGCAAGUCGAACGGUAACAGGAAACAGCUUGCUGUUUCGCUGACGAGUGGCGGACGGGUGAGUAAUGUCUGGGAAACUGCCUGAUGGAGGGGGAUAACUACUGGAAACGGUAGCUAAUACCGCAUAACGUCGCAAGACCAAAGAGGGGGACCCUCGGGCCUCUUGCCAUCGGAUGUGCCCAGAUGGGAUUAGCUUGUUGGUGGGGUAACGGCUCACCAAGGCGACGAUCCCUAGCUGGUCUGAGAGGAUGACCAGCCACACUGGAACUGAGACACGGUCCAGACUCCUACGGGAGGCAGCAGUGGGGAAUAUUGCACAAUGGGCGCAAGCCUGAUGCAGCCAUGCCGCGUGUAUGAAGAAGGCCUUCGGGUUGUAAAGUACUUUCAGCGGGGAGGAAGGGAGUAAAGUUAAUACCUUUGCUCAUUGACGUUACCCGCAGAAGAAGCACCGGCUAACUCCGUG